rnacentral:rRNA from 1 species
UGUAAGCGUAUACCAAAGUUGUUACAGUUAAAACGCUCGUAGUCGGAAUUUGGCAGUUCCGGAUGUGUGCACGUCGUGUGCGCACUUCGCGGGGAUUGCUUUUGUGGUCUUGCGUAGGAUGAGGCACUUUUAUUAGUGAACGUCCUCACGCAACCACUUUUUACUGUGAGAAAAUUAGAGUGCUCAAAGCAGGCAUUUGCCGUGAAUGUAUUAGCAUGGAAUAAUAGAAUAGGACUUGGUUCUAUUUUGUUGGUUUGUUGGGACUGAGUAAUGAUUAAGAGGGACAGUUGGGGGCAUUUGUAUUUCGGUGCUAGAGGUGAAAUUCUUAGAUUACCGAAAGACAAACUGCUGCGAAAGCGUCUGCCAAGGAUGUUUUCAUUGA